GUAGCACUGCUGGAUCAAAGGGUAUGCACAGUUUGAUAACUUUUUGGGCAUAAUUCCAGAUUGCUCUCCAGAAUCGUUGGAUUCGUUCACAACUCCACCAACAAUGCAUCAAUGUCCCAGUUUUCCCACAUCCCCUCCAACAUUCAUCAUUAUUUUUUUCUGUCAUCUUAGCCAAUCUGACAGGUGUGUAGUGGUAUCUCAGAGUUGUCUUAAUUUGCAUUUCUCUGAUCAAUAAUGAUUUGGAACACUCUUUCAUAUGAGUGGUAAUAGUUUCAAUCUCAUCCUCUGAAAAUUGUCUGUUCAUAUCCUUUGACCAUUUAUCAAUUGGAGAAUGGCUUGAU